CCCACCUGAUGUUGUGGUCAAAAGAAAAAAGAAAAAAACUGAUACAUAGCGGUAACUUUAGGGUGAAAGGUUGUGCAUUUUUCACUGUCAUAUGGGAAAAGAAAUAAAUAGAAGAUUGAUAAGUGACAAAACCAAUCAGGAACUGUCAGGGUUGGGUGGGAUACGCCUCACAAGUUCCGCCCUUGGGUAGAGUUGGGUGUGGCAGAACAAAAAAAAAAAACGUAGUCUGGACAGAGAUUAGAAGAGCUAAAUGGUUUGGGAAUCUACCAGGGUAGCGUGAGCGGAAAAGGUAAAAGGCACUGUAGAAUUGAAAUUGGAUACACGGCAUAGCGACUACAAAUACAGUCGCUAGGGAAAGGAAGGAAAAGAACUGGCACUAAUUGAAAAUUUGGCGUGGUAGUGAGUGAAAAACACUGUGAGCUAAAGGUAGUAGCUAAUGUCUGACGCCAUUAGCUCGUGUCCAGGGCCGCAGUGAAUUGUGGAAUUCUACCGUGCUAGUGAGCGAAAGGCAGAAGAGAUGAGACAGCUGCGUGGUGUGUGCGCCAUUCUGAGCGGACAUUACGUAUGCUUGUAUUAAAUCAAGGAGAUUGGUCAGGUUUUUUUCGGGGUCUUGGAACAUUCUAUUCCCUUUGUGAAACGAUCAUAAAUCAUUCCUGGAGUUUGAUGGCGAGCCUCCCAGCGGAUUCUUGAGUGGGAAGACCUGGAUGAUUUGGUCAGCAUACAAGCGUUACUACACUCCCAGUGUAGUCGACAAAGGAUUCACUACGCCUUCUGGUGCAGUAUCUUUUUCAUCAUCAUACUGGGACUGGACUUAAGUGGACUUCUGGGGUUUUGAUUUGACUUUUAUUGUUUUUUUGACUGGACUACAUUAGCACUGAUGAAGCUGUACAUGCACUGAAGAAAAAAUGCUAUCAUGGUAUUACCAGUAUUGUGAACCUUGAAUUCUUGUAUGGUUGAUUGAUUUGAGAGGGAUUGGGAUUUGAAUGUUAUCCGAUUGAAUUCCACUUCACAUUGGAUAUCCGAUUAGAUAGGGUGCACCCUAGGAUAUCACAGACAUAGACAGGAAAAAUACCCUAAGCAACCCAUUAUUCCAGAUUUACUGGUUCCUCACGAGGAGGGAUUACUUAGGUGGGUUUUGAUAGUGGCCUGUGAUUAAGAAGAGACUUAACACGGUUAAGCUUGGAUUAAUUUGGUUUAUUUAUUUUCCACGUGUUUAGCUAUUUUACUUAUUUAAAUUGUUUUGUGUAUGUGCAUAUGUUCAAUUGUAGUAAAACAUUGUUCAAGCAUAUAAUUUGUGGAAAUUCAAUUGAACACCACACAUUGCUCCAGCGGCCGAACCUAUUCUAGCUAUUGGCCCUUAAUCAGAGGUUGGCAACUUCUGAUCUAAUCACUUGGCAAGUGU